rnacentral:tRNA from 1 species
GUCUCUGUGGCGCAAUGGAUUAGCGCGCUGGACUUCUAAUCCAGAGGUUCCGGGU